rnacentral:tRNA from 1 species
GCCGAGGUGAUGGAAUGGCAUACAUACGUGGCCUAGAACCACGGUCCUGCGGGUUCGAGUCCCGCCCUCGGUA